UCCCUGGUAGCUCAGAGGUUAAAGCGUCUGCCUGCAAUGUGGAAGACCUGGGUUCGAUCCCUGGGUCGGGAA
rnacentral:tRNA from 1 species